CACUCUUCACAGGUGUUUCCUCUAACAAGGAAGCUUUUGGCUCGGGUUAUAUUUUAGAAUGGCAGUGUAUAAGACGAGCAAAAAGCUUGUUGGUUGGAGGAGAAGUCCCCAUUUUAAAAG
rnacentral:pre_miRNA from 11 species